rnacentral:rRNA from 1 species
UGGGGAAUAUUGCGCAAUGGAGGAAACUCUGACGCAGCAACGCCGCGUGAAAGAAGAAGGCUUUCGGGUUGUAAACUUCUUUGAUCGGGGACGAAGAUGACGGUACCCGAGGAACAAGCCACGGCUAACUACGUGCCAGCAGCCGCGGUAAUACGUAGGUGGCAAGCGUUGUCCGGAACUACUGGGUGUAAAGGGCGUGUAGGCGGGGUGGCAAGUCAGAUGUGAAAUACCGUGGCUUAACUGCGGGGGUGCAUCUGAAACUGCUGCUCUUGAGUGUCGGAGAGGAAAGUGGAAUUCCCAGUGUAGCGGUGAAAUGCGUAGAGAUUGGGAGGAACACCAGUGGCGAAGGCGGCUUUCUGGACGAUAACUGACGCUGAGGCGCGAAAGCGUGGGUAGCAAACAGGAUUAGAUACCCUGGUAGUCCACGCCGUAAACGAUGGAUACUAGGUGUAGGAGGUAUCGACCCCUUCUGUGCCGGAGUUAACACAAUAAGUAUCCCACCUGGGGAGUACGGCCGCAAGGUUG